UACGUAGGGUGCAAGCGUUGUCCGGAAUUAUUGGGCGUAAAAGAGCUUGUAGGCGGUUUGUCGCGUCUGCUGUGAAAUUUCGGGGGCUCAACCCCCGAACUUGCAGUGGGUACGGGGCAGACUAGAGUGUGGUAGGGGGAGACUGGAAUUCCUGGUGUAGCGGUGAAAUGCGCAGAUAUCAGGAGGAACACCGAUGGCGAAGGCGGGGUCUCUGGGCCGAUACUGACUGAGGGAGCGAAAAGCGUGGGGGAGCGAACAGG
rnacentral:rRNA from 1 species